GGAGCUCACAGCUGGGAGCAGAGAACCCUGUGUCUAAUCCCUCCCUUUGGACCCCAGCCCGUUGCAGUGUCUACAAGCUCAAUCUGUUCUUCCUGUUAUUUUCCAACCACAUAUGGAGCUGCAGUGCCGCCCACCAGUGCUCCCAGAUGUGCUCCUCCAUGUUUAAUGAAGCUUUUGAGCAGACCUGAGCCCCACAAACAGCAAACCCCACCUCUCAGAGACACCGGGAAUACUUCUGCUGCUUCAUGGUGGGAACAGGCUUUUCUGCCUGAUUGGGAUGGGUGCCAGCAUGACCUCUCUCUUCUGGGGAGUCUGUGCUUGUGCCUCUCCUUGGAGCAGGAAGAGGAAAGCCCUGUCUCUCCACAUCACUGAGCUGAACCUGUGUCCACACCAGCUGCAAGGGUUGUAGACACAUAGUCUUAGGUGGACAAGCAGUGAGAAGAGGUCUUCAAAGAGUGAAGCAAGAGGCUUCGCAGCUAUUGAGAAAGGAAUUAAGUGCAAUCCAGAGACGAUCUCUCAGCUUCUGUGGUAAUCCCCAGUGCAGUUGCACUGUACAGGAUGGCAGAUGUGUGCCUCAGAGGUGGGCGGCAAGAACAGUCAAGAACAGGUAGGUAUUUUUCUGUGGAAACUUGAGAAGAGUUAGCCUGGGAAAGCAGAAAGGCAGCAGAAACAAUGCUGCGACAGCCUCGGGGACAGGACUAUCAUUUCCUGAGGCAUCAGCAUCAGCAAAGGAGAAAAAUUUUUUCACACAAAUUAAUACAUUAGUAUCUUGGAGUUGACUGACACAGUUUUCCCAGGGUUAAAUGCUUAAUGAAUCAAAGUGAGGAGGUAAAACACCAUACAAACAGACCGACAGGGUGAACACAACAGUCCUGCAGAGAAGCCCUGUGCCGCAGUGAUAGGCACUGCUGUGGUAAGGGUCACUCUCUGUGUCCCUUCUGAGAUAUUUUCUUCCCCAGACUCUGUUGCCAGUCACUGCUGUCACACUGGAGCUUGUCCCCUGUGAGACCUCCAGCAGCAGAACCUCUGCAAUGGAGAGGUACGUCAGGCAGAGGGCUUUUGCAUCACAAGCCCUCAGUACAGGCUAAGCCCCAC